GCUGGUUGUGCCCCAGAAAUAUCGACCCGAGUUACUGAGAAUAGCUCAUGACAUCCCGCUGUCUGGCCAUUUAGGGAUGACCCGUACCCGUUACCGCUUAACCCACGCUUUCUUCUGGCCAGGGAUUUCUAAAGAUGCGAGGCACUACUGUACCUCCUGUGAUGUGUGUCAGCGGGUAGGUAAGAGAGGGGAUCGCCACAAAGCGAAACUGUGUCCC